UAAUCUGCAGGCUGCAAUCUGCCCGUGAAAGAACUCUUGCAACACAUUGUGUGAGGAUCCCAGGUAAACAGCCAAUGUGUGUGCCCAGAGCUGCACUUACGUCUGUCUUCUAGGGAAGCCUCCCUCCCCGCUGGCCUUCAGGCUGUGCCUCCACCCUGCCUCUGUCUUGUUCUCUUAGGCUGCCCUGUCCUUCCCUGGGAAUCAGGUCAAGAGCCCUGCUGGCAGGUGUCCUAGAGCAUGAAUCAGGCCCCUGGCAAGGAGAAGGCGGGAGAUCUUGGCUGAGAUCAGGUAGGAAGGUUUAUUGGAUGAUGUGUCUGGUCAAUAGCCAAUCUAUUAACCCCCCCUGAGAGAAUUAGGAACCUUCAUAUGAUGGGUCAUCUCUUUGUGGGAGAAGUUUAGAUAACUGGAAACCACAUUUUGGUCAAGAAUGACUCAGUUAAUUUUUCCAUGCCUUUAGUGAGGAUUUAAUUUUGCACGGGUAAGUGACUUCAGAGUGGUUGGUGAAAGCUGGCUGGCUGUCAUUUUGUCUGGCAGUGCAGAGUGGCAAUUUAUCCCUUUAGGUGGCCCAAGAUUUGGGUGGCUGGACUUUCCAAGGCAAUUUAAUUUAAUUUAUUUGUUUAUGCUGAGCCUUGGGUUAAUGCUUUCAAAUGGUUUAUUUCAGAGAUCUGAUAACCUGCGGACUGACUUUCUCCUUCUAGACUUGUGUUGAUUUGAUUCAACAGACCCUCAUGACUCAUGAAGCACCUAUAUGUACCAGUCAUUGUGAUAAAUCUGGGGAUUAGACAGGGGCAAAACUCAGUCCUUGUUGAGUUAGCUCAUGGUGCAAUACUGGACUCAGACAUAAACAAACACACAGAAAUGAUAGGUUUGUGUGGCAUGCUGAAGGCCCAGGUAAGAAGGAAUUCAUUCUGUUGGAUAAGGCGGGGACUCAAGGAGGCUUCCUGGAGGAAGCGAAAUCCUAGAUGAGUCUGAAAGGGUAAAUAGGAAUGAAUGCUCUCCAACUCUGAUGGAGUUGAUGAUCUCAGGGUUGGCCUCUUUUCAUACUGGUUUUGAGUAUAAAUGAUUAAUUUGUUUGUAAUAAUUAAUAAAAAGAAGAAGAAUGCAUUCACAAGCAUCACAAGUGAAUCCAUCCCUGACUUCUUAGUAAUUUCCCCUUUUACACCCUGCUAAUAUGAUCCCUGUUUUUUGCCCUUUAUGAAGUGGUCCACAGUGUGAAAAAUUUGAAAGGCCCCAAAGAAUGAAUAGUUCUUCAGUAAACGAAUUGGAACAGCAUAUUGGGCAUGGAGUCAAGAUGUUGACCUAUGUAAUUCUUUUGACUUUUUUAUUUUAAAAUUACUAUGAUUCCUUCAGGGCAAGCACUGCUUUAAUAAUUCAUCUUUCUGUCUUCAAAAGUCAGCCCAGUGACUGUCCCUUAUUCCACAGAUGUGGAACCAAUUCAGGAUUGUCCUUGUGAUUCUUUUUCCUAAGUGGAAUACUGAGCCUCCAGCUUGUGUGUCAUAUGUGUGGACUUUUCAGCAUAUUCUUCUCUGGCCCAGAAGUCUGGAUUCUUCUUGUCUGUUGCAAUAAUAUAAAGUUAUUCAGAGCUGUACAUGAAGAGAAGUCCCACAGGGACCCUGGGAUCAGAAGAACUCUGGGAAAUGCCUGGCCCAGCCAGUGCUGUUCUAAAGAUCCUCAUCCUCAUGGAGAUAACCAUUUUUAAGGAAGAAAAGAGGAUCUGGACCCUACCCAUCUCAGUCUCCAUCAGAUCUUAUGGAUGCUCCAGGAAUUGGCCAUGAUUCUCCUCUUUUCUACCAUCUUGUAUGUUGGGCUUUGUAGAGGAUAGAUGUUUUCUAGAAGAAUGGCAGAUAAGGCAAGGUCUGCAGCUUGCCAUUGAUAGUGUCUUUAUCAACAGAUCUGUGAGGAAUUGUGCAGCUGAGAGGGGAGAAGAGAAAUCAGAGAGUGGAUGGACUGCCACAGUUCAACAUAUACUGGUGCUUUCAAUAUAGAAUCCACAAGGCAACCUGCAUGCUGGGCUCUGUGCUAGGCACUAGGGGUAUAUCUAUGAGAUGCCACCCCAGCUCCCACAGUCUUACAAUCUAAUGGGGAAGAGAGAUAUGUCAAUAGACAAACGCAGCAGAUGGCAAGUGCUGGGAUAUGAAACAGUAAGCAGAAGCCACAGUGUUCUCUGGGACUUCUGAGCUGAGUCCCAAAGUAAUUAGAUUAAUCCGUCAUGGGAGGUGGAGUGGGUAGGGGGAGCUCCUGGAAGCAUGAUCAAAAGUGGAGAGCUAAGGUGAGGGAGAAGAAAGAAAUGAGAUUCAGCAAAGAGGAGGAGAGCAAUGAAGGGCCAUGUAUGACCAGGCGAAGGCAAAUUGUUCGGACCAAACAUGACAGUAGGGUGGGUUUUUGAGGGGUAUCCACUGCACUUACAGAGGCAAGAUUCUCUAUGGUGACCUUUCAGUGAGGGUGGGCAAAUACACUACUUUUUGAGUCAGCCAUUUUUCACUACUGAGCACCUCUGGCCUUAGCAAGUUCUGAGCAUGAAUACUUUCUUCUGUUUCUAAGCCAUUCAACAAAUAUCAAAGUGCUUUCCCAUGUAUUGGUCAUCUUAGGCAAACUGGGUGGACAUGUAGAGCAAGACGUAAUGAGGUAAGCACUCACUAGAGCUAGGUCAUCUUAGAAAAGUCACUUAGCUUCACUGAGCCUCAGUCUUCCUAUCUGUGAAAUGGGGAUAAUGACCCUUAUGUCACCUGGUGGGCAAGGUCUAAAUAAAAUCAUUGUAGUUAGAUCCAUAGUAGGUUCUUUCUGACCUACCACUGUGCACCUCACGCCGUUGCUAUUCCAGUGGGAUAUAUCCAGUGGGGUUACGGGUAUGACAUUUCGGAACCCCACCAUCACUUGUAUCAGCAGGUCUGUCCUAGGUUCCCCAACUAAGCUUCCUGGAUGAGGCACCUAGUGGCGUCCCCUAGUUUGAGUGUGGGGGGUUUGGUAAACUAGUCCUUAUGUAUGCUUGUCAGAUGGAGGGUACUGUCUUUAAGAUGGGCUCAUAGCUGAAUCUGGAAGGUAAGUGCUCCAGGCCAGUAUUGUUUUCUGCAGGAUUCAAAGUUCCCUUGCUAUUUCUGCUGACUUUGCUUCCCCUCUCGUGUUCUAUAUCCCAAACCUAUUAUCUUCACCAGCGUUAAUUUGCCUCCACAACUCUGUUUUUGCAUUUUGAAAUGGAAUUUCCCUUAACCUAUAUUCCUCUGGUUCCCAAACUCCACCUGCUUCAGUUUUUUUUUCAAUAUCAUCUACAUUUCCUUCACUAGAUUAUAGCCUUAGUCAUUUGUACCCUUAGAAUGAAUAUUUUUUUCUGUCAUAUCUUUGUUUGAACCUUUUCACAUUUGACUUCAGACAUUACCCAUCUCCUUCAUCUGACCACUUUCUUCACUUUUCUCAUCUUUCCAUUUUGGUUGUAUGUCUACUGAGCAAGGGGCUCUGUGCAGAGCAUUCAAAGAUGACUGAGAUGUAGUCUUGUGGGUAGAGAGAGACAAUUAGAAUGCACCGUGGAGAGUGUUAGGUUGAGGGAAGCGGAGAUUACAGGAGUCCAAAUGUCUUAUCCGAGGAUAUGGGAUAGGCUUGAGAGAAGAUGCUGAGCUCAUGUAGGUGAGGUAUUGUCCUACGUGAAGGAAAAGAGGCAGGAGAUGGCAGCUUGGAGGCUAUAUUACUUUCUCUGGGGCUGCCAUACCAAAGUACCACAAACUGGGUGGCUUAAAACAUCAAAAAUGUAUUUUCUCACAGUUCUAGAAGGUAGAAGCCCAAAAUCAAGAUGUUGGCCCUACAGCUGUGCUCCUUCUGAAGGCUUUGGGGUGAAUGUGUUUAAUGCCCUUUUCUUAGCUUCUGCCCUUUUCUUUUCUGGCCUUCACAGAAGGCCAAAGAGCAAUCCUUGGCCUUCCUUGGCUUGUGGAUGCAUCGUUUCAGUCUCUGCCUCUGUUUUCACAUGGCCCUCUUCCCUGUGUAUCUGUCUCUACGCUGCUUCUCAUCUUAUAAGGACACAAGUCAGAUUGGAAUAAAGCCUAUUCUAAUUCAGUAUAAUCACAUCUUAACUUGAUUAUGUAUGCAAAGACCAUAUUUCCAAAUAAGGUCACAUUUUCAGGUCCUCGGGGUUAGAGCUUUCACAUGUCUUUUUGGGGGACAUAGUUCAACUCAUAAUAGAAACCUCGCAGAUAAAUCAUUUUGGCCGGUGCACAGAGUUAAGUGGUGGAUUAUCAAGAAUAUGGAAUUUUAGAAUUUUAGCUUCUUGGUUGAUUUUUGGGAAUUAACAUACAGGAGAGCAGGUUUAGAAGUAACAAUAACACUUUGAGAGGCCGAGGUGGGCAGAUCAUGAGGUCAGGAGAUCGAGACCAUCCUGGCUAACAUGGUGAAACCCCGUCUCCACUAAAAAUACAAAAAUUAGCCGGGCAUGGUGGCAGGUGCCUGUAGUCCCAGCUACUCAGAAGGCUGAGGCAGCAGAAUGGCAUGAACCCGGGAGGCGGAGGUUGCAGUGAGCCGAGAUCGUGCCACUGCACUCCAGCUGGGGAGACAGAGUGAGACUCUGUCUCAUAAAAAAAAGAAGUGACAAUAACAAUAACAGAGGCUGGUCUUCUGGGAAUGAUGCGAUACUCUUCAGCCAGCCUUUCUGUUUUGAGCGAAGCCCCAACCUGGAGUUCAAAGAGAGUGAGGGCGCUUCCUGUCUUCUUGUCUUUCUCCUCUCUCCUGCUACUUGUUAUGAAAUUCAGAACAAUUAGAGAUUUUCUGUCUCAUCCCUGGAAUGGUGUUUCUCCUGCUGGCCCUAUCAGGCUGGUGUGUUGAUGUUAUCGGGGAGAGGCUGUAGUUACUAGGAUGAAGAAGGCAAGAGAGAAAUGGAAUUCACGCAGAUCAAACAUGUGUAAUCAGAAGACAUUACUGAGGCUUGAUGAUGCUGUUCAGGGUGUAUUUCCCUUGAAACGCUUCUUAAAAGACAGCAGCUUAAACAAAUGGGCAAGAUGAGAUUCACAGAGGUAACAUUUCAGAGAGAAUGUAGGUACAGCUAAGCAGAGCUAAGCAGUGACAGAAGGAGAAAGUGUGUCUGAAGAAAAAUCUUCAUUACAGAUUUGAAAGAAAAAAAACCCAUCAAAUCCCUCUGCCUUGUGGGUCUCACAGGAGGCAAACUUUCUUUACAAACUGUGUGUUUGUGUUUUGAGUGACUAAGAGUUCAGGGACAAGUUCAAACACACCUAAGUUCAAUUUAAAAGUAAAUGAGAUGACAUUGGAGGAAAUUUAUAAUAAAAUGUCACUCUUUACCUAACACCAUUUUCUCUGGAAUUCAAAAUAUCCAUUGUUUAAAAGUGACACAGUAACUACCAUCUAGUUUGCUGAAUGACCUUCUUUAUAGCGUCAUGGUAUUAGAAAUGGCUUCAGAAGGAAUCACUCAACUGCAUUUAUCUGGCAGGAGAAAAAUGCAGGUAGUAUUUAUUUUGGGGUGUGGUAGGGGAUGUCCCCUAGCAAGGAUCCUAGAAGUCAGUGUCAGGUAUGAGAACAAGAAACAUUCAUUUAUUGCAUGCAUACUCAUUGAGUCCCUACUAUGUAUUGGUAUUAUGUGGCAGUAUGAAUAUUCUCAUUUGUUAAAUAAAGAUACUUGAGUCUGC